UACGUAGGGGCCGAGCGUUGUCCGGAGUUAUUGGGCGUAAAGCGCGCGCAGGCGGCCUCGCGCGCCCGACGUGAAAGCCCCCGGCUCAACCGGGGAGGGUCGUCGGGGACUGGGUGGCUUGAGGACGGCAGGGGCUGGUGGAAUCCCCGGUGUAGUGGUGAAAUGCGUAGAGAUCGGGGGGAACACCCGUGGCGAAGGCAAUCCCCUGGACCUGUACUGACGCUCAUGCACGAAAGCGUGGGGAGCAAACAGG
rnacentral:rRNA from 1 species